GCUCCAGACUCCUACGGGAGGCAGCAGUGGGGAAUAUUGCACAAUGGGGGAAACCCUGAUGCAGCGACGCCGCGUGAGUGAAGAAGUAUCUCGGUCUGUAAAGCCCUAUCAGCAGGAAAGAUAAUGACGGUACCUGACUAAGAAGCCCCGGCUAACUACGUGCCAGCAGCCGCGGUAAUACGUAGGGGGCAAGCGUUAUCCGGAUUUACUGGGUGUAAAGGGAGCGUAGACGGCAGCGCAAGUCUGGAGUGAAAUGCCGGGGCCCAACCCCGGAACUGCUUUGGAAACUGUUAAGCUGGAGUGCGGGAGGGGCAGGCGGAAUUCCUGGUGUAGCGGUGAAAUGCGUAGAUAUCAGGAGGAACACCGGCGGCGAAGGCGGCCUGCUGGACCGUGACUGACGUUGAGGCUCGAAAGCGUGGGGAGCAAACAGGAUUAGAUACCCGAGUAU
rnacentral:rRNA from 1 species